rnacentral:rRNA from 1 species
UACGAAGGGGGCUAGCGUUGCUCGGAAUUACUGGGCGUAAAGCGCACGUAGGCGGCUUCUUAAGUCGGUGGUGAAAUCCUGGAGCUCAACUCCAGAACUGCCUUCGAUACUGGGAGCUCGAGUCCGGGAGAGGUGAGUGGAACUGCGAGUGUAGAGGUGAAAUUCGUAGAUAUUCGCAAGAACGCCAGUGGCGAAGGCGGCUCACUGGCCCGGUACUGACGCUGAGG